rnacentral:rRNA from 1 species
CAGCCGCCACGGUAAUACAAAGGUCCCGAGCGUUGUUCGGAAUCACUGGGCGUAAAGGGAGCGUAGGCGGCGUGGUAAGUCAGAUGUGAAAUCCCGGGGCUCAACCCCGGAACUGCAUCCGAUACUGCCGUGCUAGAGGAUUGGAGAGGUAGCUGGAAUUCUUGGUGUAGCAGUGAAAUGCGUGGAGAUCAAGAGGAACACUCGUGGCGAAAGCGAGCUACUGGACAAUAUCUGACGCUGAGGCUCGAAGGCCAGGGUAGCGAAAGGGAUUAGAUACCCCUGUAGUCCCUGUCUCUUAUAC